rnacentral:rRNA from 1 species
UGGGGAAUUUUGGACAAUGGGGGCAACCCUGAUCCAGCCAUUCCGCGUGAGUGAAGAAGGCCUUCGGGUUGUAAAGCUCUUUCAGCAGGAACGAAACGGUCGGCUUUAAUAAAGUCGGCUAAUGACGGUACCUGCAGAAGAAGCACCGGCUAACUACGUGCCAGCAGCCGCGGUAAUACAGAGGGGGCAAGCGUUGUUCGGAAUUACUGGGCGUAAAGCGCGCGUAGGCGGUCGUAUAAGUCGGAUGUGAAAGCCCUUGGCUCAACCAAGGAACUGCGUCCGAUACUGUACGGCUUGAGGCUGGUAGGGGGUAGCGGAAUUCCCGGUGUAGCGGUGGAAUGCGUAGAUAUCGGGAGGAACACCGAUGGCGAAAGCGGCUACCUGGGCCAGAUCUGACGCUGAGGCGCGAAAGCUAGGGGAGCAAACAGGAUUAGAUACCCCCGUAGUCCCUGAGCGGGCUGGCAAGGCGCAU